rnacentral:sRNA from 1 species
CUCAAACUCAUCCAAAAACUCCUAAAACACGCUGUUCAUCAACCUCAUGAACGCUGUAGGUGCUUUAGUCAAACCGAAAGGCAUCACCACGAACUCAAAAUGUACAUAUCUCGUUCUGAAAGCAGUCUUGCGAAUAUCGACCUCCGCUAUCGGGAUCUAGUGAUAACCCGACGUUAAAUCAAUUUUUGAGAAACAAGUAACACCCCUCAACUGAUCCAACAACUUAUCGAUCCUUGGCAAAGAGUACUUGUUCUUCACAGUGGCCCGGUUCAACCCCUGGUAGUCAAUACAUAAGCGGAAACUCCCGUCUUUCUUCUUCACAAAUAACACCGGCGUUCCCCAAGGUGAAGUACUAGGACGAAUGAAUCCCUUACCCAACAAAUCCUCUACCUGCUUCUUCAGCUCUGCCAUCUUUGCUGGAGCCAUCAUGUAGGGUGCCUUAGACAACGGCGCUGUCCCUGGUUCCAACUCAAUCGUGAAAGAAUCAGACCGUGAUGGUGGUAAUCUCUGCAACGAUUGAAACACAUCCUCGAACUCCUCAACAACCCGAAUGUCGCUCACUACUACCUGCCCCACAGACUCCGGCAUAGAUAUCGUCACCAGGUAAGCCUCGCAGCCCUUCUCGAUCAUUUUCUCUGCCUGCACUGUUGAGAUGAGGAGACUCCCUGAGGUAGGUCUCACUCCCUGAUAAACCAACCUCCCUUCUGGCCGCUCAAAAGAAACUCUCCCACGGUGGCAGUCAAGAUGUACUCUGUAAUGAUAAAACCAAUCCAUUCCCAGAAUAACAUCAUACAACUCUACAUGGUUGAUAAUCAGAUCUGCUGGCAUCAAAUCCCCUUCAAUUUGAAUAUCCACACCCUUAACUCUCCCCAAAACCGCUAGAAACUGCCCUCCAACAACUUUGACAGCUCCAAACUGCUCACCAGGAUCCCCACGAAUGUUACCGCGCGAGGCACUCUCCGGGGUAUUGAAGCAAUGCGAUGCUCUAGAGUCAAACAUCACAUGAGCCUCUACACCACCCACUAAUAAAGUCCCUACACAAACCUCAUGUGCUAAGAACCUUAACAUUCAUCACAAAACAAUGAUAUCUAAAAACAACAGAAAUAAUUCACAAAGUCUGAGUCUCAGAAAUCAUACCUGUGAUCGCUCUGUUGCUGAUACCGCCUAUCUCACGCGUAGUGUAACCAUGCGGUGCCGCUGCAAUAUGUGCUAACUGCUGCACUUUUUGCUGCACUCCCUACUGCACCUGCACUCCCUACUGCACUGCCGGCUGUACAAUUGCCACUACCAUCCGCUGUAAUUUAGGGCAAUUCGGCCGGAGAUGUCUCCCUCCCUGCAGUGGUAACACUCCCUCGUCUCAGCUCGCUGCGUGCAAUCCGCUACCUUGUGGUCAAGACUCCCACAAGAAAAACAUCCUGCACGACCACCUUGUCUAGCUCUGGAAGGAUGAUCCCACCUCCUCUUCUGCCCCUGCGUAUGCUUGCCGCCCUUGCUAAAUGCCACCUGCUGCUGAGUCUUCUUCGUCUGUACCGCUGGACUCACUGCCACCACCAGUGCACCAGUGCCGCCUUCGUGGCGUACUGCGACACUCUACACCGUACCCUCAAAUCAGGUCGAAGUCUCCUCAAGAACCUCCUCAUCUGAGCCUGGUCAUCCUCCAUGCCCCGAGCCGCAUACACCAAAUAUCGGUUAUACUCCCAAACCGACCGCUCACCCUGUGCCAGCUCAAGAAAACGCGCCUCCAUACGGUCGAGCGCCUCCUGCGGAAAGUACUUGGCAUUAAACUCAGCCCCAAAAUCUGUACAAGACAUAUCCGCCUGCCUCCUCUUUGCAGUCACACCCGAUACUCCACCUGGCAUCAGCUCGUACCAAAGUUCCGCUCAACCCGCGACCUCCAAUUGUCGGCCUCCUCAGGACUAGUACCACCAUAAAAAUACCCGGUGCCAAUUCUCUGCAACUGCUCCAUCAUCCUCAAAUAAGAUGGAACCUCCUCAGCAAGCGCAGCCCUCUGCUGCACCUCCGCCACUCGUGGCGCAACUGGAGCCUGCACUGGUACCAUACCUGGUAACCGCUCCAACAACUGCUCAGCAGGCCCGCCAAACCAACCUCUGGAACUUGGGUUUCUCCGGCUGCGGCACCCAUCACUCCUGGGUCGUUAGCACCAACAACAUGGACACAAGCACCAACACCAGCUCCACCAGCCCCCACUCUGGCUGCACCAGCUAUAUCGGCACCAAGACUUUCCCCAGCCCCGGGCUCCACAAACUCAGGCUGCGAACCCACAGUCUGCUCAACUGUGGCACUAUGGCCAUCACUCUCGCCAUAACAAUUGGCUAAACACUCCAUAAUCAAUCCUCAAUAUGCUAACAUCCUAUCUUCUCCCACAUCAAUCAUUAGGAAAAUAAUUUAUCAAUUAAUUUUUCUACACAUCCUAGAACCGUAAUCGCUCUGAUACCAAAUUGAAACAACCCGACCCGUUUUUCUUAAAACAUAAUUAAAUAUUCCCAUAAAUAUUUAAUUAAACCAACCAAUAAAGCAACAAUUAAACCGCAAGUCAAAAAAUACUAUUUUAUGAAUAAAUAAAUAAUUCAACCAACAAAACCAAGAAUGAAUAACAAUUCUAACACAACCCUAACCGGUUCUAAUAACCAAAACACUAAAAUAAACCAAAUGAGUUCCUAGAUCAUCCUCUCUUCCUUGCCAUGAUUUCACGAUCAUACUUUAUCUUUACCUGCACCAAAAAGAAAGAGAUGCGUAAGUAUUAUCACUAAUACUUAGUGAGGCGAUCCUCUCAUCUACGAGCUAUACACACAAGCAAAAAAAGGGAUAUAAUCACAAAUACAAUAUAAACAAACCAGUCAUUGAACAAUUCACCCAAAAACAUAUUCACUGCACCUACAUAUCAUCACACAAAACAAAUUAUACAAUCCAAUCGCUCAGAUAAGCUCAUGGUCACGCACUCACCUUAACAAAUUGAUUCUAACAACAAUUAAACCCAGGAGAGACUCUCCUUGCGUCUGAAACAGUCCAAAAACGUCCUACAACAAGUCACAACCAAAAGCAACCUUGAAGCAAACUGGACAUGAAAAACAGAAACAAACAGUCUCAAAGACGAAACCCUAAAAUACAAACCAAUCGUUAACUAUCAAAUCCCUCCGGUGAAACGCUAGCCUUAGACGUCACAAAAUUUCGUGCCGAUCGGAAACCAGACGAAACCACGAUUUCAGUUACAAUCCCCACUUGUGCUAAUUCGCGUCUGAGAAAACGUGUCUCACCAAACUGCAAAUAACUCAACGAAUAUAAAUCCGAAUCCAAUUCUGUAAAAUGGAGAAUGACGAUAAAAGACUUGGUAAUAACUGUACCAAAUUUCGUUACCUUUGACAACGAUUUGAUAUGUCAAAAUCGUUUUUUCCCAAACCCUAAUGACUCUGGUUCUUCUCCUUCUCUCUUUUUUUCCUUUAUAAAACGAAAAGUGGCUAACUAAAGCCCUAAUUUCGAGUUUCCUUCUUUUAUAGGCACACUCUAGGGUUUCCAAUUAAUCCAACCGAUUAAACCGGAUGAUUUAAAUACAAACCCUAACCGAUUUUCCGGUUCACGGACGUUACACUAACUAAUAACUAAUCUAUCCUUUCACAUUUACAUUUUACACUCUCUUUCCCUCAGUCGGAAAAUUCAGUUUCUAUGAAAAGGGAAACAAUGGACACUAGGCGGCAAAGAUAUGUAUGAUGCUUCCAAAAUUAUGUUUCUGAAUCAUCUUAAACAGUAUCAAAUUUUUUGUUUAGUUAAAAUGAUGUAGAAAACAUUUAGGAGUUUCAUCUAUAAAAUGUUAGGCUUUUACGAGUGUAUAAAGAGCGGAUUUUAAAGAUUUAUUAUAUUGCAUGUUAGGAAUCCGUUUGAAAAAUAAGUUCAUUUCCACUUUUUCAUCGAAAUUGUGUUCAAUUUACUUUAUUUGUCUCAAUAAUUAUAUUUGAAUGGUUGUAAUAUAAGUGAUUUGCCGUGGAAAAAAACCUAUUAUUCGUUGAUUUUGAAA